AGUGAACGCUGGCGGUAGGCCUAACACAUGCAAGUCGAACGGCAGCACAGUAAGAGCUUGCUCUUACGGGUGGCGAGUGGCGGACGGGUGAGGAAUACAUCGGAAUCUACUUUUUCGUAGGGGAUAACGUAGGGAAACUUACGCUAAUACCGCAUACGACCUACGGGUGAAAGCAGGGGAUCUUCGGACCUUGCGCGAUUGAAUGAGCCGAUGUCGGAUUAGCUAGUUGGCGGGGUAAAGGCCCACCAAGGCGACGAUCCGUAGCUGGUCUGAGAGGAUGAUCAGCCACACUGGAACUGAGACACGGUCCAGACUCCUACGGGAGUCAGCAGUGGGGAAUAUUGGACAAUGGGCGCAAGCCUGAUCCAGCCAUACCGCGUGGGUGAAGAAGGCCUUCGGGUUGUAAAGCCCUUUUGUUGGGAAAGAAAAGCAGCAGGUUAAUACCCCGCUGUUCUGACGGUACCCAAAGAAUAAGCACCGGCUAACUUCGUG
rnacentral:rRNA from 1 species